GGCCGACCUCGAGCCCACCACACCGCCCAGGAUGGGGUUAGGUGGGUGCAAACCCGCCUGGCGCGAAGGCGACAUGUGGGUGCAGAGCCAGCCAGUCUCGCCGCGUUCUGCCACCGUUGGCAGCCACAGGCUGUGCCCAGACUGAAUUGAGCACUUGAGUUUCACACUUUUAUCGGGAGGAGGAGCUGGCGUGUGUUAUGAAGCUGAAAACCUAAGAUCGUGAAAAAUUAAGUGAUUUUCUUGCAGUAACAUUAAAGAUGAGUGCCAGAACUGAAAUGCAGGUUUCUGUGUAUUUCAGAAAUCGUGGUGGGGACUUUCCUGGUGGUAUGGUGGAUAGGAAUUCGCCUGCCAGUGCAGGGACCAAGGGCUUGAUCCCUGAUCUGGGAAGAUCCCACGUGCCACGGAGCGACUAAGCCCAUGUACCACAACUACUGAGCCCUGCAUGCCUAAAGCCUGUGCUCCGCAGCAAGAGAAGCCACCACCACGAGAAGCCUUUGCACCACAACUAGAGAAAGCUGGAGAACAGCAACAAGGACCCGGUGCAGCAACAACAGCAAAAUUUUUAAAAAUGUGAAGGUGGGAAGCAUUUACAUGUGGUGGUUGUUUCAUUUCAACUAUUCUUCAAAAACGGGGGCGAGAAAAGCCAAGUUCUCUAGUUUUCAUAUAAAGAUGACUCAAUUUAUUUGAAAAUGAGUGUUCCAGAAUCAGACUUCCAGAUUCCAUGAAUUCAGAGUGUGGAAAAGGACAAGCAGCUCCCUUUAGCUGUAACAGGAGACAUUCUUUUAAAAGCCUGGAAUGCUGAAGCUCUCUU
ensembl:lncRNA